GAUGAAGAACGUAGCGAAAUGCGAUACUUGGUGUGAAUUGCAGAAUCCCGUGAACCAUCGAGUCUUUGAACGCAAGUUGCGCCUCAAGCCAUUAGGUUGAGGGCACGUCUGCCUGGGCGUCACAUAUCGUUGCCUGAUGCCAGUUUCCUCGUGAUGGGUGACUGUGCAGGGCGAAUGAUGGCUUCCCGUGAGCAUUGUUGCCUCAUGGUUGGUUGAAAAUUGAGUCCUUGGUAGGGAGCGCCGUGAUAGAUGGUGGUUGAGUGACGAACGAGACCCAAUCAUGUGAGACCCCUACCGAAUUUGGCCUUCAUGACCAACAUGCGUCUUUGGAACGCUCAUGACGAGACCUCAGGUCAGGCGGGGCUACCCGCUGAGUUUAAGCAUAUCAAUAAGCGGAGGA
rnacentral:misc_RNA from 1 species